rnacentral:rRNA from 1 species
GGGUUGUGAGGUUAAGCGACUAAGCGUACACGGUGGAUGCCUGGCAGUCAGAGGCGAUGAAGGACGUGCUAAUCUGCGAUAAGCGUCGGUAAGGUGAUAUGAACCGUUAUAACCGGCGAUUUCCGAAUGGGGAAACCCAGUGCAAUUCGUUGCACUAUCGUUAAGU